AUAUUGAAGGGAGAUCCUGAGCUAUGGACAGGAAGCUGAAGAGCAGAAAAUAAUAAAAAAUACUACAUUUUCCUGUUAUAGAUGCCUUAAACCUGCUAUUUGGCUGAGAGAAACAGUAAAGAAAAAGCACCAAGGUUGUGGCUGUAGGAUAUGCAUAAGCCUCCUCCCUCCACAUUGUUUGUUGCAGCUAAGAGAUAAUGGAGCAAAUCAGUCUUCAAUAGAUUGGUUUUGAGCUGUGUGCUUCAAGUGGGACAAGCAUGUGAUAGAGGAGAGGCAUAGGACCAUCCUUCAUGUGAAAGACUAUUUUUCACACUUUCAGUAAGGCCAGGACUUCUGGUGGGCUUUAGGAGCUUUACUGCAGUGUAUGAGCAGGGUUAGCAGACCAGAGCCUGAUCUGGGGACUGUUUGGAGCUGAAAGUCUCCAUGCCUACCUUCCUGCUUUGUUGCAGUAUUUCCAUGGCAACCAGUUGCUAUAAAAAAUUCUUUCUAAAUAUACCACUUGUACUCUUUUCCUGCUUUAGGUUUUUCCUUUUAGUUAUCCACUACUGUGAAAAUUAUUCUGUCAUGUUGUCUUACUUAUUUGCACUUAAUGCAAGUGGCUUUGUAUUCAUUUUGUUAUUAUUAGCUGCAUUAGUUUCAACUGCUCACAUUAACAGAGAAGAUAUAGGGCUAAAUGAUGAGUCGCUGUAGCACAGAAAAAUGUAAACUCUGACAAUGAAAAAAUAAAAAGUCAAGGUGAAUAUGUUCAGCAGAAAGUAUCAGGCACAGUUGAUUUUGCUCCUACAGAUUUCUUUUUCAUACCCCGUCCACCAUUUGCUAUUAGUUGUCUAAUAUGAUCCUAGCUUAGCUUCCAUCCAGAUAUAACAAAACAAAUCAGACGUGGCAGAGAGUUUCCCCUUCCAGUCCUUUGCCCUGCAAAUGAGAGCCUAGAUGCUUCCAGGCAGGCAGCAAACAACAGCAGUGAAUGCCAGAGAUGACAUUUCAACUGGUGUUCAAGGAGUGCCAUACAAAUAUCGUGUUCUUUAUCCGCUAACAAAACUGCCCCACUUGUGUGCCAAAAGUUAGCUAAUGAGCU